rnacentral:rRNA from 1 species
AGGGUUCGAUUCUGGCUCAGGACGAACGCUGGCGGCGCGCCUAACACAUGCAAGUCGAACGAGCGAGAGAGAGCUUGCUUUCUCGAGCGAGUGGCGAACGGGUGAGUAACGCGUGAGGAACCUGCCUCAAAGAGGGGGACAACAGUUGGAAACGACUGCUAAUACCGCAUAAGCCCACGGCUCGGCAUCGAGCAGAGGGAAAAGGAGCAAUCCGCUUUGAGAUGGCCUCGCGUCCGAUUAGCUAGUUGGUGAGGUAACGGCCCACCAAGGCAACGAUCGGUAGCCGGACUGAGAGGUUGAACGGCCACAUUGGGACUGAGACACGGCCCAG